ACAAGGGUUAUCAAAUGAGCUUAACUUGUGUUGAACCUGGAUUAUUCCUUUAAUUCUGGCGCUUUUCCAAACCCAUAUGCUUUUUUUCUUUCUUUCUUUGUUCCAGUAGAACAGAAGAAAACAUUCUGAAGAAUCUUCAUAUUAUAACCAGGACCCGAUUGAGCAGUCCCAUCUACAAUGGCACCAAGAUGGCACCUUGACCUGGAUUGACGUUGAUUGGACUUUUUUGGUACUUGACAUUUGUGGGCAGCAAGUGAGGCACAACCGCCACUGGGGCCCAAAAUAUGUGCAUGACACCCCUGCCAUAGCUGUAGAGUUCCCAUGGAGGGUUAUGCAUUAGGUGGUCAGAUUAACACAUUUACUUAUGAGAUGGAAGUCACUCAUCCUCUGAAAAUCACACCUCACAUCAGACCAGACCUGCUGUCACCGAACCGACAAAAUGUUGUAUAUGUAAUAUUUCUUCUCAAAUGCAAACAAACAGGAUGCAAAUUCAGAUUUGUAUGAUGUUACACAACAUUGUAAAUAAAGAAGAAAUUGUUCUGAAUAAAGAGAUCUGAGCUUUGAACCAAACCAACUAACUCAACAGUAUAAACUUUGAUUUGAAAAAAAAAAAAAUAAAAAUAAAGCAUUAAAAAAAAAAAUCACAAUUUUUUUUUUUUACAAAGGUAAAAGACUGUGUAUGU